rnacentral:piRNA from 1 species
CCCUUAGUAUAACCGCCAUGGAAGCAGA